rnacentral:rRNA from 2 species
GCGAUAGUACGCACGUCUGAUGCCAGCACUGCCGCGUGAGUGAAUGAAGGUCUCUUCCGGAUCGUAAAGCUCUGUUGUUGGUGAAGAAGGAUAGAGGUAGUAACUGGCCUUUAUUUGACGGUAAUCAACCAAAAAGUCACGGCUAACUACGUGCCAGCAGCCGCGGUAAUACGUAGGUGGCAAGCGUUGUCCGGAUUUAUUGGGCGUAAAGCGAGCGCAGGCGGAAGAAUAAGUCUGAUGUGAAAGCCCUCGGCUUAACCGAGGAACUGCAUCGGAAACUGUUUUUCUUGAGUGCAGAAGAGGAGAGUGGAACUCCAUGUGUAGCGGUGGAAUGCGUAGAUAUAUGGAAGAACACCAGUGGCGAAGGCGACUCUCUGGUCUGCAACUGACGCUGAGGCUCGAAAGCAUGGGUAGCGAACAGGAUUAGAUACCCUGGGUAGC